ACACUGCACUAACUGCCACCUAAGCCCCCAUCAAAUGAGCAGCACAAACAUGGAUAGAUGGCGUCCAAACAUCGCGCACAACAUUCGGCCAGACUGCCUCAUCUUAUUAGCAAAAGGCAAAACAGAUUACACACGAAGCCUACAGGGAGUCUGAUCCAUAUUGUUGCGGCUGUGGUGUUUUGAUGUUUUUGAUCUGAAGACAAUCCUGGUGUUAUGUAUCGUUCAUGGUAAAGGAUAUUCUUGUUGUUGUUUUUUAAUAGCGGGCCUGGACCUGGAGAAAAGACACCGCGUGCUCAUGGACAUCUUGGUGUUAUUGGACAUCCCCGCGCACGCACUCGCAUCGAGCCACAGCGCAAGUGAUUACACUUUUGAUGACUUCAGUCGAGCGAUCCGCUGGCGUGGACUUGUUCUGUUCUGUGUUGAUCUGCAAAUUGGAAACGCCAUGCCAUGGAAACUCAGAUUUUCUCGCGGAUUUCUGUAUUUCUACAACGCCCUGUCAAGUGGUGAAUGAUGGGUGUGCAUGUUUGAUGAAGAACUGUGGAACUUCCCUUUUCUCUACGGCCUCUGCCUUACUGCCUCGUAAUGUUAUCACUUCUUCUUUCCACAAAUGGGUUUGUGCACAUACUCUGAAUAACUUCUCAUUUCCCAGGUCAGGUAGAUUUAUUCAACAUGCACACCAGCAGAGACAGGAGACGUAUCAGGCAUGUGCAGCUGUGGCGUGCCUGUGUGAUUCGGAGAGAAACCGAUGAUAAUGCUGUACGUCUGCGGACUAAACAUAUACACAGACAACAUAUUUAUUCAUGAACAUCCCUCUGCACAUUAGUCUUGCGGGCACAUACGGAGAUAAAACAGCAGCGUGCCAUGUAAAAUUUUUAGCUCUGUGCAGCUUUGAUUAAACAGAUAUGAAUGCAUAUGAUAUUCAGGCUCCAUAAUACCGUCAUCAGUCAUUUGUCAUAAUUAUGAGCUAUCUGGAGCCACAUGGUUUGAUAUAAAUGACAAUGAUACAUGUGCCCUCUCCCUGCCGCAGACAGAACGGGAGAAACAGAUGACUGUGAGGGAAAGAGUGCAUCAAAUAUAAAGAUCAAAUGUAUCUCUGUUCACACAACAACAGCAACUCUAUAAAUUAACAGUUUACAUUUGGACAUCUGAGGCUAUUUAUUGAUUUCGAGGGGAAACUGUCGACGGUGUUCGGCAGCUCACGCCGGCAAUAUUCAUAACCUCAUCCCUUACAGCAUAAUAACAAAUCAGCAUGCAGAUGUUGUUUAAUUGGAGGCAGCCGUAGUCCACACAUUAGUAGUGGAAGGAAGAUUAAAGGAAUGUAGGUGUACAUCAUUUAAAAAGGGAACAGUGCAGGGUUUAAAAAGGAACUGUGUGGGAGCGUGUAGGAGGUCCUGCUCGUUCAUUUGUUUGUUGUGUGCGGUGUGCAUUCAUUGUUGCUGCUACUUAGCCUCAGCUGACCUGCUGAUGUAAUAUUAGUUCCUUCUCCUUCUCACACUCAUCCAGUCGUGUUCUGUUAUCUCCUGUUAGAUAUCUCUGACUGACACACGUUCACACAAUAAGUGUAUGCACUCAUAAGAACACACACACAGGCAACACAUUGUGUCCUAAUACUGUGUAUCAUUUUUUUUUACUAAUAAACUUACCAAGUCACA